GGGCGUGUGGCUCAGUUGGUAGAGCGCCCGCUUAGCAUGAUUUAUCAAUCACAGCGAUUGCGGAAGGUCCCCGGUUCGAUUCCGGGCUCGUCCA